CCUGGUGGUUUUGCUGUACCAGAUGGAGCUCGACCGCACGCUCUUCCUGCUCUGCUCCUACGGUCAUACAUAUGCCUCCACCUGCAAAAGCUCAGCUUGAAUUCAGUGUCUGUAGUCUGCACCGCACAGUGGUUCUGUUACUCACUGAAAUGUUGCAUUAGGCAAUUAGUUGACCUCAUCGUGCUGCUGUAUGUAGAUUGAACUGGUUGUAACUCCGUUCAUUCUCUUCCUAACAGUAUUUUGUCAGCCACAUUGGACUAAUCUAAUGCAUUCGAAUUGCCUUGGUGUAUAAAAAUAACGAUAUAGGCUUGAUGUGUACAAGUGCAUAGCUACUUAUCUAGCCUAAUCUGACUGUAGCUUAUAUACUUAAUCUUUUUAUGCACACUAUUUUAGCCAGCAGCAGAUGUUGGGCACUCUGAGGUAUGCAAACCUUCUCAGAGCAAGGGGAGCAAGAGUACCGGUACUGCAUUUCUUAUAUUCAUCGCUCAAAAUUCCCAGAACUAAUCUUGAGCUCUUGCUUUGAUACAGAACUAAUCUCGAAGGUGAUAGCCCUGUUUCUUCCCUGUUGUAGAUCAACCGUUCUUAUUUCUUCCUUGGAGCUCCACUGUUUUGGAUGAACUGGACUAACCCUAGAACGUAUGAAGGUUAUCCACGAGGUGUCUCAAGGUGAACUCCAUGGUACCUGAUCAAGUGGCUGCAGGGAAUGGUGUAUGCUCACAAGAACAAUUUGUUUCACUCAGACAAGAAUCCCACGAACCAUAAUGUGGCCUUUAAGUUUCAGCUUUAGGAUGCUUUUUGGAAUCGACUCAUGAAGAUGAUGGCUAGCCUGCACGAACAUUUGGAGCUUCUGCAUAAAUGAUGCAGAUAGUCUACAAGAAAGGU